UACAUAUUCCCUCCGUAUGGAAUUGCUUGUCGCAGAAAUGAAUGUAUCUAGAUGUAUGCUAGUUCUAAAUACAUUCACUUCUAUCCGUUAUUCGACAAGUAAUUCGGAAUGGAGGGAGUACAUA
rnacentral:pre_miRNA from 1 species